AUGCACGCUGGCGGCGUGCCUCAUCCAUGCAAGUCGCGCGAACAGACGAGGAGCUUGCUCCUCUGGCGUUAGCGGCGGACGGGUGAGUAACACGUGGAUAACCUACCUAUAAGACUGGGAUAACUUCGGGAAACCGGAGCUAAUACCGGAUAAUAUAUUGAACCGCAUGGUUCAAUAGUGAAAGACGGUUUUGCUGUCACUUAUAGAUGGAUCCGCGCCGCAUUAGCUAGUUGGUAAGGUAACGGCUUACCAAGGCGACGAUGCGUAGCCGACCUGAGAGGGUGAUCGGCCACACUGGAACUGAGACACGGUCCAGACUCCUACGGGAGGCAGCAGUAGGGAAUCUUCCGCAAUGGGCGAAAGCCUGACGGAGCAACGCCGCGUGAGUGAUGAAGGUCUUCGGAUCGUAAAACUCUGUUAUUAGGGAAGAACAAAUGUGUAAGUAACUAUGCACGUCUUGACGGUACCUAAUCAGAAAGCCACGGCUAACUACGUG
rnacentral:rRNA from 1 species